rnacentral:rRNA from 1 species
AACGAACGCUGGCGGCAGGCCUAACACAUGCAAGUCGAACGCCCUAGCAAUAGGGAGUGGCGCACGGGUGCGUAACGCGUGGGAAUAUGCCCUUCACUACGGAACAACGUCGGGAAACUGACGCUAAUACCGUAUAAUGACUCCGGUCCAAAGAUUUAUCGGUGAAGGAUUAGCCCGCGUUAGAUUAGCUAGUUGGUGAGGUAAUGGCUCACCAAGGCUACGAUCUAUAGCAGGUCUGAGAGGAUGAUCAGCCACACUGGAACUGAGACACGGUCCAGACUCCUACGGGAGGCAGCAGUGAGGAAUAUUGGACAAUGGGCGCAAGCCUGAUCCAGCCAUGCCGCGUGAAUGAUGAAGGCCUUCGGGUUGUAAAGUUCUUUUAGUAUGUGAAGAU